CGGUCCUCGGUAGUGGCUUCCGGAGAUUGUUUUCCGUGGGUCUCAAUCGAAGGCCGG
rnacentral:ncRNA from 1 species